GACGAAGGUGGCGAGCGUUGUUCGGAAUCACUGGGCAUAAAGAGCACGUAGGCGGCGCGGUAAGUCGGAUGUGAAAUCCCUCGGCCCAACCGAGGAACUGCGUCCGAUACUGCCGGGCUUGAGACCGGGAGGGGUGCGUGGAAUUCCGGGUGGAGCGGUGAAAUGCGUUGAUAUCCGGAGGAACACCGGCGGCGAAAGCGACGCACUGGUCCGGUUCUGACGCUGAGGUGCGAAAGCCAGGGGAGCAAACGGG
rnacentral:misc_RNA from 1 species